GAUGUUGAGUAAAUCAAUAGAGUCGUGCACUGAUCUCGGAAGCUAAGCAGGGUCGGGCCUGGUUAGUACUUGGAUGGGAGACCACCUAGGAAGACCAGGUGCUAUAGGCU
rnacentral:rRNA from 1 species